CCCUUAGAUGUUCUGGGCCGCACGCGCGCUACACUGACGAAUGCAACGAGCUUAUAACCUUGGCCGAAAGGUCUGGGUAAUCUCCAAAUUUCGUCGUGAUGGGGAUAGAUUAUUGCAAUUAUUAAUCUUCAACGAGGAAUGCCUAGUAAGCGCAAGUCAUCAGCUUGCGUUGAUUACGUCCCUGCCCUUUGUACACACCGCCCGUCGCUCCUACCGAUUGAAUGGUCCGGUGAAGCGUUCGGACCGUGGCCUUUGGACGGUUCGCCGUCUGUUGGCUGCGGGAAGUUCGUCAAACCUUAUCAUUUAGAGGAAGGAGAAGUCGUAACA
rnacentral:rRNA from 1 species